rfam:Gossypium hirsutum cultivar TM-1 chromosome 14, whole genome shotgun sequence
GAUAGAAAUUUGAUAGAGUUCAACUAAAUGUUUAGGUGUACGACAACCUUGUGUCAGGACCUACGAGCUAAGGGAUAGUCUCAGGUAGACAGUUUCUAUGGAGCGUAGGCCUCCUAAAAGGUAACAGAGGCAUGCAAAGGUUUCUUCGGGCCAGACGAGGAUUGGCCAUCGAGUGAAAAGGCAGAAGGAAGCUUGGCUGCAAGACCCACCCGUUGAGUAGGGACGAAAGUCAACCUUAAUUAUCCAACGGUGCUGAGUGGAAGGGCCGUCGCUCAACAGAUAAAAGUUGCUCUAAGGAUAAUAGGUUGAUCUUCCCCAAUAGCUCACAUCAACAGGAAGGUUUGGCACCACGAUGUCGGCUCUUCGCAACCUAGGGCUGUAGUAUGUUCCAAGAGUUGGGCUGUUCGCCCAUUAAAGCAAUACAUGAGCUAAGUUUAGAACGUCGUGAGAUAGUUCAGUCCAUAUC